rnacentral:rRNA from 1 species
UAGCGGAGGAAAAGAAACUAACAAGGAUUCCCCUAGUAACGGCGAGUGAAGCGGGAAGAGCUCAAAUUUGAAAUCUGGCACUUUCAGUGUCCGAGUUGUAAUCUCGAGAAGUGUUUUCCGCGCUGGACCGCAUAUAAGUCUGUUGGAAUACAGCGUCAUAGUGGUGAGAACCCCGUAAAUGAUGCGGACGCCCAGUGCUUUGUGAUACACUUUCGAAGAGUCGAGUUGUUUGGGAAUGCAGCUCAAAUUGGGUGGUAAAUUCCAUCUAAAGCUAAAUAUUGGCGAGAGACCGAUAGCGAACAAGUACCGUGAGGGAAAGAUGAAAAGCACUUUGGAAAGAGAGUUAACAGUACGUGAAAUUGUUGGAAGGGAAACGCUUGAAGUCAGACUUGCUGUUUGGAAUUCAGCCGCAAGGUGUACUUUUCAGAUAUGCAGGCCAGCAUCAGUUUUUGGGGGUGAAAAAGGGUAUUGAGAAGGUAGCAGUUUCGGCUGUGUUAUAGCUCUUUACUGGAUUCAUCCUUGGGGACUGAGGAACGCAGCUCACUUUUUGCACGACCCUCGGGUUGUUCUGAGCUUAGGAUGCUGGUGGAAUGGCUUUAAACGACCCGUCUUG